AUGAAUUCAUUUAUGAAAGCCACAC
rnacentral:piRNA from 1 species